UACGGAGGGGGCUAGCGUUGUUCGGAAUUACUGGGCGUAAAGCGCGCGUAGGCGGACCUGCAAGUCGGGGGUGAAAGCCCGAGGCUCAACCUCGGAACUGCCUUCGAUACUGCGGGUCUAGAGUCCGGGAGAGGUGAGUGGAAUUCCUAGUGUAGAGGUGAAAUUCGUAGAUAUUCGCAAGAACACCAGUGGCGAAGGCGGCUCACUGGCCCGGUACUGACGCUGAGGUGCGAAAGCGUGGGGAGCAAACAGG
rnacentral:rRNA from 1 species